rnacentral:lncRNA from 1 species
GUACCGAGGCAGUGUACCAGGAAAAAAAGAGGAAUGGAUGCAGAGUAUCCUAGCAACUUCCAAAGGGACAAUGGGUGGGCGUUACGGCAUUGAUGACAUUAUGAGUCAUCUCACUGACUCUUGUGAGCCCAGAGAGAUCCAAUGCAGGGUGCCUCACUCCAUGCUCAAGUCACAGAUGUACCCGCCUUCAUCUGACUGAUACAGGCUAGAGCCAAUAUUCAAGGCCUGGUCAUUUUCCUCGCAAGGUGCCCAUUUCCUCUCAUGCCGUGCUUCCCUAACAGGAGGCUCCAGAGAGGCACCAACAGGACACCUGGGCUUCUUGCUGAUUAAUCUCGCAGUGUUAAACACUUCUGCGGAAUAAAACAAUGAUGUCAACAAACAAAAUGGAGAAUAUCUUGAAUUCAACAACUGUGCACAGGAGAGAAGACUGUAUUUUUGGUUUGGAACACUGUCAAAAGGUGUUCACUAUUUUGGAAAAUGGCAGUGCCUGACAUCCCUGACAGAAGCGCUUCUCAUGGUGGUGUAGCCACAUGACACUUCUGUAUUAGCCUGGACUUACAGCUGUGGCUUUCAGUAGUGAUUCUACUUACAGUAAAAGGUAGGCUCUCUGUCUGUUGUGUGGACUAGCACAUCCCAAGCACCUACACAGGACCUGGAACAUAGAGGGCACCUGAUGAAUACACUGAGGCACAAAGAAGUUUAAAUAACCCACCCAAGGUCCCACCGCUGUUUUACAGCCUCCCAGAGAGCGGUCUUCCAAUCUCUGUUCAUGAAUUACAGAAUAAUGAAGUCUUAGAUGGGAAAUAACCUGAAAAACGUCCUCGUCUGUCCUCUUCACUUCUCCUACCCACGUAAUAACGAGUGGAUUAUUCUGGACAGUAGUUUUCAUACUACCUUCUCUGGAUCUCUUUCCUUCUAGAACUUUCUAUCUUUCAGAGUUAGUAGGUGGGGGGGCUUCACCUACUAGUAGGUUUUGAGGCUCCAACUCAGCUUCAACUAUAUCUCCUCUUUCAUCUGUUUAUAUAGCAGGAUACCAGGCAUGUUUCAUUUGAAUAAUUUUGGAAAAAGUUUGAAGGCUACUCUUCCAGAGGACCAGUGGCCUGCAUUGUAGCAGAGAGACGGGGUGAUCACUGUUAUUCAGACAUGCUUUCUUUACAACACACAACUGAGCAAACAAGACAGCAGGCAACUGCAUAUGCGACCACUUAUCCCUUUCCCGAUUUGCAUUUGUGGAAAACAAGUUUCAGAUUUAACAGCGAGUCUUUUACAACUCUGCUUGACUCCAUUAAUGACAGCUCAGUUUUUCAACGUUGCAAGAAAAAGAGCCAGAUAUCAUUCAGAGUGAUAAUGUGACAACCCAAAUGUGAGUCCUGGACUGAGAACAGAACGGAAGAUGAAAGGAAUUAAUGCUGUCUUUGGCUAGAACCUGAAGACAGCAGGUGGAAAGGCUGAUGUACAAACAGUCUUAGAAGUUAGAGACGUACUUUGGGAGGCCGAGGCAGGCAGAUCACGAGGUCAGGAGAUCGAGAUCAUCCUGGCUAACACGGUGAA